GACGAACGCUGGCGGCGGGCUUAACACAUGCAAGUCGAACGGAAAGGCCCUGCUUUUGUGGGGUGCUCGAGUGGCGAACGGGUGAGUAACACGUGAGUAACCUGCCCUUGACUUUGGGAUAACUUCAGGAAACUGGGGCUAAUACCGGAUAGGAGCUCCUGCUGCAUGGUGGGGGUUGGAAAGUUUCGGCGGUUGGGGAUGGACUGGCGGCUUAUCAGCUUGUUGGUGGGGUAGUGGCUUACCAAGCCUUUGACGGGUAGCCGGCCUGAGGGGGUGACCGGCCCCAUUGGGACUGGGCUACGGCCCAGACCCCUCCGGGACGCAGCAGUGCGGAAGAGUGCACUAUGGGAGGAAGCCUGAUGCAGCAACGCCGCGCGGGGGAGGACGGCCAUCGGGUUGUAAUCCGCUUUCGCCUGUGACGAAGCGUGAGUGACGGUAAUGGGUGAAGAAGCACCGGCUAACUACGUG
rnacentral:rRNA from 1 species